CCUACGGGAGGCAGCAGUGGGGAAUAUUGGACAAUGGGCGAAAGCCCGAUCCAGCCAUGCCGCGUGUGUGAAGAAGGCCUUCGGGUUGUAAAGCACUUUCAGUGGGGAAGAAAGCCUUGGGGCUAAUACCCUCGAGGAAGGACAUCACCCACAGAAGAAGCACCGGCUAACUCCGUGCCAGCAGCCGCGGUAAUACGGAGGGUGCGAGCGUUAAUCGGAAUUACUGGGCGUAAAGCGCGCGUAGGCGGUCUGAUAAGCCGGUUGUGAAAGCCCCGGGCUCAACCUGGGAACGGCAUCCGGAACUGUCAGGCUAGAGUGCAGGAGAGGAAGGUAGAAUUCCCGGUGUAGCGGUGAAAUGCGUAGAGAUCGGGAGGAAUACCAGUGGCGAAGGCGGCCUUCUGGACUGACACUGACGCUGAGGUGCGAAAGCGUGGGUAGCAAACAGGAUUAGAUACCCUGGUAGUC
rnacentral:rRNA from 1 species